AGGACGAACGCUGGCGGCGUGCUUAACACAUGCAAGUCGAACGGUGAAGGAGAGCUUGCUCUCCGGAUCAGUGGCGAACGGGUGAGUAACACGUGAGUAACCUGCCCUUGACUCUGGGAUAAGCGUUGGAAACGACGUCUAAUACCGGAUACGAGCUUCAGCCGCAUGGCUAGGAGCUGGAAAGAAUUUCGGUCAAGGAUGGACUCGCGGCCUAUCAGCUAGUUGGUGAGGUAAUGGCUCACCAAGGCGACG
rnacentral:rRNA from 1 species